CAGUAGCCACGGGAAUACGAAGGGGGCUAGCGUUGCUCGGAAUGACUGGGCGUAAAGGGCGCGUAGGCGGAUUGUUUAGUUAGGCGUGAAAUUCCUGGGCUUAACCUGGGGACUGCGCUUAAUACAGGCAGUCUAGAGUGAGGAAGAGGGUUGUGGAAUUCCCAGUGUAGAGGUGAAAUUCGUAGAUAUUGGGAAGAACACCGGUGGCGAAGGCGGCAACCUGGUCCUUGACUGACGCUGAGGCGCGAAAGCGUGGGGAGCAAACAGGAUUAGAUACCCCCGUAGUCCCUGUCUCUUAUAC
rnacentral:rRNA from 1 species